GCCACCCUCAGGGAAAGACAGGUUUUGGA
rnacentral:piRNA from 1 species